rnacentral:SRP_RNA from 12 species
AGGUUCGAAACGCAGCAGCGGUAACUGGUUUG